GGAAGGAUCAUUAACACUUAUCCAAGUAUCAACCCCGUGCUCUUUGUUCAUUGAGAAUGUAUCGUCGUUGGAGGGGGGGGGCGUGAGGGAAGUUUAUUCUUUCCUUGUGUUUCCUCUUUCUUCGCCGUAAGUUCUCACUUGUUUCUUUAUCUUUAUCUUUACAACCCUUUGUACCUUUUUUUACUGAACUUGAUUCUUCUCCUAACGGAGGGAAUUAUAUUACGAAACGCUUGACAACUCUUAACAACGGAUAUCUUGGUUCUCGUAACGAUGAAGAACGCAGCGAAAUGCGAUACGUAAUGCGAAUUGCAGAAUUCAGUGAAUCAUCAAAUCUUUGAACGCAAAUGGCGCUCUCGGGAUAGACCUGGGAGCACGCUUCUUUGAGUAUCGGUUCUACCACAACUCGACAGCGUUUUUAUUCACAUAAGAACGUGUAGUCGGAUUCUGGUCGUCUCCUCACCGUUUGGGUCAAGGAGUCGACUUAAACUUACUUGUAACAGUCAACCUAGUCGCUAGUUGCGGCCUUCUUCGACGUGGAUAAUUUGACCCUUGUGUCAACACACUACGUUCUGAAGUCAAGUCUGCAAUGACUAGAUCAUUGAUCUGCGUUGUAAAUGAACUGAGAGAGCAGCAAUGCUCUUUUGAAUUAGAUCUCAAAUGAAGUGAGAAAACCCGCCGAAUUUAAGCAUAUUAUUAAGCGGAGGAAAAGAAACUAACAAGGAUUCCCCUAGUAACGGCGAGUGAAGCGGGAAAAGCUCAACUUGAAAACCGGCGCGCCAAACGGUGCGUCGGGUUGUAGUCUAGAGACGUCUGAUCAGCGUGUGACCCGGGUAUAAAUCUUUUGAAACAAGGUAUCAUAGAGGGUGAGAAUCCCGUCUUUGACCCGGAGUUCGCCGCGUACGAUCGGCGUUCGCAGAGUCGAGUUCUUUGGGAAUGGAGCUCAAAAUGGGUGGUAAAUUUCAUCUAAAGCUAAAUAUCGACGAGAGACCGAUAGCGAACAAGUACCGUGAGGGAAAGAUGAAAAGAACUUUGAAAAGAGAGUUAAAAAGUACUUGAAAUUGUUAAGAGGGAAGCACUGGAAACCAGUCGUUGCCCGGCGCUAUAUUUACUAUCCUUCGGCGAAGGGCCGUGUUCGGGAGUGCGUGAGCCUCUCCGGGUGCGGUCGGACGUCGGGGGGGUGGGUCCUGUAGUGUCGGGUGGGUCAGAAUCAAUUCGCUUCGCCGGAGAAAGCCGGCGGGAAGGUAGGGAACUUCGGUUCCUGUUACAGCCCGUCGGUCCUACGGUGGGGUGGAUUGAGGAACGAGAAUCCGCGCUCGCAAGGGCUCGGUGCCCGGCUCCUGCUGUGGCGUGCUCGCGUGGGACAAAAAAUUUGUGCCCGUGGUGCGCUGCGGUACUGGGUCGGUUCCACUAGAUGCGGUAUUCGCGAUUCUGACGAAAUGGUUUUCAAUGACCCGUCUUGAAACACGGACCAAGGAGUCUAACAUAUAUGCGAGUAUUUGGGUGGCAAAACCCGGAAUGCGCAAUGAAAGUGAAGGUAGCCUCGUGCUGCUGAGGUAGGAACCCGGGGCUUCGCGCCUUGGGGCACUAUCGACCGAUCAGUCACUUGUGAAAGAUUUGAGUAAGAGCAUAUCUGUUGGGACCCGAAAGAUGGUGAUCUAUGCCUGAACAGGGCGAAGCCAGGGGAAACUCUGGUGGAGGCUCGUAGCGAUACUGACGUGCAAAUCGUUCGUCUGAUUUGGGUAUAGGGGCGAAAGACUAAUCGAACCAUCUAGUAGCUGGUUCCCUC
rnacentral:misc_RNA from 1 species